UGUUGUAUGGGUUUUCUAUUGUGUGCCCAUGCGGCAAUGGGCUCAUAAUGAAAAUAUAACUUACAUGAUUGCUACUUGCUAGAGACAUCAUCAUUUUACUAAACACAAUUUUUUAAAAUACUUAAAAUAUCUUUUUUAUUCAAUUUAGACCUCUUUAAUAUAAGGUCGGGUUAUGACCCUAUAAUAUGGGGUCGGGUCAUGAUCCUAUAAUAUAAGGUCGGGUCAAGGGCAUUUUUUAGGGACUCGACCCAAUUAAAAUAGGGUCGGUCGUAUAGAUCUGACCCUAAUAAGACAUUAGCGGGUCGGAUAAAAAAGGAUCAUUUGGAUUUUAUACAGUCUCUAACCUAUCACCCUCAUUUUGUCUAAAAACCCUAAAUUCUUUUUCUCCUCUAUUCUCUCUCCUCUCUUCUUCUUUCUUUCAAAACUUCUCCUGAGAAUUGCAACGCCAUAGCGGACAAACACGAGUUAUUUAGUAUUCUCUUCGAUUUUUUUCUAUCUACAUUUUAGUAUUCUCUUCGUUUUUUUUUCUCGAUCUACUUUUUAGUAUUCUCUUCAAUUUUUUCGAUCUACCUUUUAGUAUUCUCUUCGAUGUUUUUUUGAUUUGUAUUUACAUGCUUGAAGUUCUGUUUUUUGGGUUUAGAUUGAGUUCGGUUUAUUCUGAUUCCUUCCUUAUUAGUGUUUUUUUUUCGGUUCUUCAUUAUUAAUUCCCUGCUAGGGUUUUAAGCCUUAAACUGUUCUUCAUAUGGUUUUUUUGUGUUACAGGUCCAUUGAUUAAACACAUCUUUUAAUUUCUCAAAUGGGUUUAGAUUGAAGUCCCCAAAAUCUACCCAAUUAGGUAUAAAUUUAUGUGUUGAACAGUUAAAGUUGGUCUUCAAGUUGAGUUUCAACAAGAUGAUGAUGUUUUCUUUCAGAAAUGUAAUGAUUGUCGCUCUAGUAAUAAUGGGGUUUGUGGGUCAAAUGAAUCCGACCCCAAUAAAUCCUUUUUUUGUUUUAGCGAAUCAGUGUUUCCGCCAUUGUUGAUGCACCAUAAGAAGAAGAUUGCUACAUUGUACUUUGUUUUUGUUAUUAUCCUAUGUUUGUUAUGUGAAUUUGGGGUUACUUAUUUCGGUUUCAGAAUUUGGAAAAUUGGUGGAAAUUAUAGCAGUGUAUAGAAGAUCCGAUGACUGUUUUUCUACAGAAUCAUUAUUCUACUUCUUUGCUUUCUCCAGUUUUUACCUACGAGGAGCUUGAUUCGUCGACGAAUAGAUAACAAUGUCCAAUGUACUAUAACAAUCAGCUUUGUCCCUCUCUUCACCCAUUGACUAUGUCAACAAAAGUCAUCAUCAUUAUUCAUUAUUGAUUAUUCACCGAACAAGUUGAUUACUAAUUUCCACCAUAAAGACAAGUACAAUGGUAAAUUAAGUUGAUAAAUUAUUUUAACCCAAUACGUAAUUUUAUUAAUCGUGUACUUUUCCUUGAACUUUCAAGAGUUAUAAUCUCAAGCUAUAAAAAAGAGGCUCAAAGCUGAGACUGAUGUGCAUUCACUUUCUCACUCCUUAUAUUUUGUACAAAGUGUGUUAAUCCGCAACAUUUUAAAAAAUUUAUUUUGGGAAAUUGUUUGAUGGUCGAAUUGUUUGAUCUCUUAUUUGUACUCCAAUUUUUCACGAUUAAUGGUGAUUUAUGUAUGCAGGAUUUAUCAUCAUUAUUUGUGCUGAGAUUAUCGAGGUAUUGCACAGCUUACUUAUGUGACAUGUGGUAAACUUUACCAUGGAAGCUACUUCAAUGUCAACACCCGUGGAGCAGCACCCUGUGAAGGACCCUGGAGAGGAUGUGUAUGUUGAGUACACAUCACCUCCUCCACAACAGAAGCAACAAAAGUCGAAGUGUGGAUUGAGUUAGUGCAAGGAACGAAUGAGGCAGGUGAGAAAAUUGCAACCUAUCCUUAUUGUAAUAUAACUUUGGUUGCUAAGGGAAAUAGUGGUACAUCUCAUUUAAAGAGACAUUUAGAAUGGUGUUUGCAGCGAUCCGUCGGACUUGAAAUGGGGGUGGGGGGGGUGUGUGAAUGAUGAUGAAACUUUUAGGUUUGAUAUGAGUCAAUUAAGGAAAGCUUUAUUGCUGAAGGUGGACAUUCUUUUUCUGUUGUUGAACAAAAGGGUUUUAAAGGAUGAUGUCUAAAGCUACGCCUCACUUUGUACUAGAUAGGGAAAUGGUGAAACAUAUGCUAGCAAAAAGUCUUGGACGAAUUUGUUUUUCUACUGAUUGUUGGAGUUCUUCACAUUCUUGACAAUACUAUAUUUGUAUCACUGCCCAUUUUGUUGAUUCUCACUGGAAAUUGCAAAAAAGACUUUCAAGAUUUAGGGCUUUAAAUCCUCCUUAUGACGGUGAAAGUAUUGUAAAUGAGAUUUUUCAGUUUUUGGUCCAAUGAUCACUAGAGAUGAAGGUCCUUACAUUUACUAUUGAUAAUGCCACCUACAACGACACAAUGUUAAGUAAGUUACGUGGUCGUCUUUAUGAGAAAGGGUCUUUGGUUGGUGAUGGUGCUUUUCUACACAUUAGGUUUUGCGCUCAUAUAGUAAAUUUAAUUGUGAAAGCUGGUUUGGGUUGUAUAAAAAGUAUUUUGGAUAAGAUUAGAACACUUAUGAUGUUAAUUCAUAAAUCUGCCACAAGGUCCAAGGAAUUUUAUGAGACUGCCCAAAAGAAUUUUCAUUUAGAUGUUAAGAGGAAAUUGAGUUUAAACAUGAAAGUUAAUUGGAAUUCAACAUACUAGAUGAUUGAUAAUGUCUUUUAUUACAAAGAUGUGUUUGUGCAAUUAAGGUCAACAAAUUAUUCGUUUAUGAGCCUUGUACCUUCUGAAUCGGAGUGGAAUAAGUUGAGUGUAAUGCACAAGUUUUUGAAGGUUUUUUAUGAUGUGACAUGCAUGUUUUCUAGUGUCAAUAAUCCUACAUCAAACUUAUACUUUAGAGGGGCUUGCAUGAUUCAUCUCCACUUACUUGAGGCAAGUACGAGUUCCCAUGAUUUUUUAAGAGAAAUGGUAAACCCAAUGUAUGAUAAAUUUGAUAAAUAUGGGGAAGAAUAUAACAUUUACUUGUCUUGUGCGACUAUUCUCGACCCAAGGUUUGAAGUCAAGUUUGUGGAGUAUAGUUUUACCAAAUUGUAUGGGAUUAAAGAGGCGAGAAGAAAGGUUGAUCGUGUUUUGGAUACUCUAAACAAAUUAUUUAAUGAGUACAAUGAGUCAUUGGUAUUCCUCCGCCUCCAAGUUUCACAGAUGAUGAUAAUAUGUUUGGAGAUUACCAUAGUUUCACAGGGACAAAUGCUAGAAGUCGGACAAGAAGGUCUCAACUUGACUUAUAUUUGGAGGAAGAAGGCCUUGGUAUGGAUUCAGAGUUGAAUGUCUUGGAGUAUUGGCAUCAAUGUGCUAUUAGAUAACCGAUCCUCUUUGUUCUAGCAAGUGAUUCGUUAACUAUCCUUGUGAGCAUAUUGGCUUCCGAGUUUGCAUUCAACAUUUGAGGUAAGACCAUAUCCCCGUAUCAUAGCUCUUUACAGCCUAAGACCGUACAAGCCUUGGUAUGUGUCCAAGAUUGGCAACGUGCAGAAGGUGAUAUUUGGAGAGACUCAAAGGUCGAUAUUACAGAGGACGAUGAGGCUUGCGAUGAUAUUGGUGAUGAUAUUGACGAAACGAGUCUUUUUUGUUUAAAGGUAAAGUAUUGGUUACUCGUUUUUUUCUCGUACAAUCACAUCCCUUUCGACUUCUUAUGUUUCUCCAUGCAAUAUAUCUGAUGAAUUAUUUAUAUUGUUUGGCUUCAAAUGAUAUGCAUGAGGAACUGCACUUGGCACUUUUCACAAGUCCCUUGAAUGGAAAUCUUGUUGUAGCAUGCAUCGAUGAACAAAGGAACCCAAGUGUAACAACCCAGAUUCUCCCGACCAGCUUACAAAGGAUUAAGCACAACGAAAGAGACUCUAGUCGAGAUAACACGGACUAUUACCAUCACACUCACUGGACGACAUCGAAGAGUGUGGAACUCAAUUCUUAAUCUAUCAAAUUAAUUAACUACCACAACAAUGUCUUGAUUCUCAAACUCUAUUCUCUUAGAAUUCCUACAGAAAAUCCGGCAAAGUUUCCUUUGAAAAUAUGACAACUCUAAAGCGAGAGAUAAUAUGAACAGAGAAUCAGGAGCACUAGCUAGCGAUUCUUAAAUGGGGAAAUAUAUUAUAGAAAAUUACGAUUAACUAUUACAAGUCGAGGGUCCUCACUUUUGAAAUCAUAUAUAACACUACACUAUCUCGUAUCAGCUUCAUCUCGAAAAAGGUUAACCCACGGUUUCAACUUGAAACAUUUAAGAAAACUGCCACCCACCAAGUGACAGGCCACAAAAAUGACAAAGCAACAUACACAUAUCAGCAAAGCUGAGUACUAAACCCGUAAACAAGAGUAACACAUGCUUUGGUGGCUUUUACUUGAAAACGACUCUCACACAAUCAACAUAAGUUCAACAAUCACAUCUAUCAAAGCAUGCUUAGCAACAAUAAUCUUGUUGAACAUACAUAUUAUAUUUCUAUCCAAUUCUUCGGUGGAUUUGAACCUACAACAUAGCAAAUAAUCGAAGAACUCCAGAAAUUUAUCUCAUCCUGAAUGUCAUCAAUUUCAGUAUAAACCAGUUCCAAUUCAUCUUCCAUUUUGUCUAGGUUUAUCACAUAUUCAUUCAUAUUCAUCACGAUUUCAUUUAGAUUAAAAUCAUUUUCUAAAACAUCAAUAACAUCCACAUUCUCAAUCUGCUGUAAAUGGGAAUCGGAUUACCUUAGUUAGGUUUACUUCACUAGUGGAAAAAUAAGGAAGGCUGCGCUAAAAAAGACCCUUAGGGCUGCGCUUUUUGACAGCAACCCUUUCAAUAGCAGCCCUUCACUUUUUAAGUAGGGCUGCGCUUUACAAACGCAGGCCUUCACAAUGAAGGGUUGCGCUUUUACCUAAAAAGCGUAACCCUUCAAGCUUCAAAGGGCUGCGUUUUUAGGUAAAAAGCGCAGCCCUUUUAGACCAGAAAAAAAUGAAAUAAUAUAGUUUGAUAAAGCAGCAGCAACAACCAAAGGUGAUGAAUAUCAUACAACCAAAAUAAUGUAAUAUACAACUGAAAUUAAAUAACAUAUAUAACAAAAUAAUGAUUAUUCCAGAAAUCUUUGUGCUGAAAUGAAAAAAAAAACAAACGGAAAUAGAAAAAAAAAAGGAACGAAAAUAAAGACAGAUGUUAACAAAAAAUGAACAAAAAAUGAAAAAAUAACCCUAAAAUUAUAGAUCUGAAAAUGAACUAAUCUGAACAAAUUUGAACAUUAACGAAAAUGAAAAAAAAAUAACCCUAAAAAAAUAAACUAAUCUGAAAAUGAACAAAAAAUGAAAAAAAUAAACGAAAAUGAAAAACAAAAGCCCAAAAUUAUAGAUCUGAAGUUGAAAUCAAAACACUAACAAAGGCCACCGCCAAACUCAUCGGAGGCGACGAACAAAGGCCGAAAUAAUGACGGCGGCCUUCGUGAAAGAAGAAUAUUGCGUUUCUUCGUGCUCUUUCUCUUUCCUCACAGCUUCAUCAAAUGACAAAGGCUCACCGGAAAUACGCCUUAGACUCUCUCUUCGAAGUUCGAAUUUCGUUACUGGUUGCUGCCGUUUCAGCGGGCUUUUCGUUUCUAUAUUCUCCGCCGUUUCGUUACUUCCAUUCAUAACUGGUUGAAGAAGAACAGUCGAACGCCCAUGAAGGAGAGAGAGAAUGAGAUUGAGAGAAUGAGGGAGGGAGGGUUGGAGAAAAAAAAACCCUAGCGCGCUUCUUUAUUUUAAGCCCAAUGCGAUAUAUUCUUUUCAAAAUAAAAUAAAAAAAAAGCCCAUGAAGGGCUGCGCUUGUCCCAAAAAAUGCAGCCCUUCAUUUAAAAGGGCUGCGUUUGACUAGAAAACGCAGCCCUUCUGUUUACAGUAGGGCUGCGUUUUUUUGUCAAGCGCAACCCUUUUUGUAAAGGGCUGCGCUUUUCUAUAAAAACCUAGCCCUAUAAGAAAGAAGGGCUGCGUAAUGAAGAAAGCGCAUCCCUUCUUUUUUUUUCCCCCUAGUGCUUCCAAAUUGUUGGUCUCCUCAACUACCAUGAAUGGAUUGCAACCAUUCAUUGAAGGUAUGCCUAAUUUCAUAUUGCAUUUGCAAUUGUUGUAUAGAUGAUUUUGGUGUAACCACUUGACCAGUAUCUAAACCAAAACACAAAGCUUCUACUCCCAAAAUUUCAUCCAUCGAACUAGUACACAAAGCUUAAGAAUCAAAAGUCGAACCUCUAGCUUUCUCUUUCUGCUUCCCGUGAUUACUACCAUGAAUUUUCCCGCUAGAUGAUCUUGCCAUGGCGACGGGGCACCAUAUGCUAUCGUGCACCGAGAGAAAACGUGGGGAGAAGGCUACUCAAAGUUACCCCUACGAUUAUCGCUUUUUUUUAUAUGUAUAGUUUAUCAAUUAUCGUCGAGGUUUAUGUGUUAUGAAUUCGAUUACAGAGAUAAAACACAGGAUUAAAAAACAUAAAUUAUUAAAAUCAAAACUACCUAAUCUAUACUAAUAUAUUAAUAGGCGUGCGUAAACGAGGAACGGUGCCACGUGGCGCUCUCCCUAGGGAGUUUUAGUUCAUGUAAUCCAUGUACAAUAAAAAAAUUAGAUAUUGCAUAGUAUAGGUGUUGAUCUCAUGACCUCAAGUUCAUGUACUAAAGUUUUAACCACUAGACCAAGUUUUAUUUGGUGUUAUCAUAUCAAAGUACAAUAUUAAUAAAUGAAAUUUUUCUUACUCGGGGCAUAGCCCGGGCCUAAUAACUAGUUUACUUUGUGAUAUUCUGCCAGUGUAGCCGCUGUGUAUGACAUUGACGUAAAUUUAACAAGAUUAAUUUUCAAAUUUGACCCACUAAAAAUAAAACAGGUACUAUAUUAAGUACCAUUUUCAAUGAUAUGAACACAAAAUAUUUAAACGUUUCUAAAUUGCAUAAAUGUGAACACAUGAUAAGAUGAUUAGUUGGGCCGCGCAAUAAUAAACAUAAAACAUUAGACCAUAAGGCUCAAAGUCGUUGUUCGCUCGAAAAAAAAAUCAUAUUUUGUGGCUACCACAGAUUAAUAAGAAAAAACUAGAAUUGUUUGUGCUAAUCCUUCCAGAAUUGAACCGCCCGCCCCGGCUUAUCAAGCUCUACAAGUCUCUAUAUAAUAAACUACCAGCUUUACUAUUCACUUACAAACCAGCUUUCCUUGUACCUACCUUGCAAUGCCAAGAGGAAGAAAGUUCAAUGGUGGAAGGGAUCAUAUGUCAGAUGCAUCAAGGCAGAGUUACAGCCUUUCGGCUACAAAUUCUGUGGGCAGCUAUCGGAAUAUGGCACCUGAAGCUCACAGAUUUAGCCAAUCAUUCACCUCCUCUCAGAUCGCAAACCCUGGAGUAAGUACCAGCAACCCCCAAAUAAGAACUGGCCAAUCACCUAGCGUCACUCAGAUUGCAAACGCUGGAGUAAGCCAGCUUUACAGUAGCAGCUCCACAACGUCUAGAGAAUCACUAGGUGGCUCAGCGAUCACAAACCCACAAGUAAGCCAGCGUAACACGACCGCAAGCACAAUGACUGCUGGCCAAUCACUCGAUGGCUCAACGAUCACAAACCCACAACUAACCAGUGAUUAUUUACCCAACCCCUAUGCGGAGUUUGGGUCGGGCCAAGUUCGGGCCGGCCAUAACCGAAGGGGUUGGGCAAAUUAAGACCACAAGAAUGGACCAGAAACCAUCCGCUACAGACAAUGAAAUCCUUCUUAACCAAUUGAGAUAUUUUAAAAGUUAUUUUUGUUUUUCCGUUAAUUCUCAAAACUCGUUAUUUAUCUCGAGUAGUAAGAGAGUUGUAUUUCCACUUGCGCAGGCGCAACAGUUGUACUAGUUAAUUAUAUUAUAAACUAAAUAAAACAGGAGGUACUUUUCUUUCUCUUAUGAAAGAUCCUUAAUGAAUGAUUCCGAUUUCUA